rnacentral:rRNA from 1 species
GAUGAACGCUGGCGGCGUGCCUAAUACAUGCAAGUCGAGCGAACAGACGAGGAGCUUGCUCCUCUGACGUUAGCGGCGGACGGGUGAGUAACACGUGGAUAACCUACCUAUAAGACUGGGAUAACUUCGGGAAACCGGAGCUAAUACCGGAUAAUAUAUUGAACCGCAUGGUUCAAUAGUGAAAGACGGUUUUGCUGUCACUUAUAGAUGGAUCCGCGCCGCAUUAGCUAGUUGGUAAGGUAACGGCUUACCAAGGCAACGAUGCGUAGCCGACCUGAGAGGGUGAUCGGCCACACUGGAACUGAGACACGGUCCAGACUCCUACGGGAGGCAGCAGUAGGGAAUAUUCCGCAAUGGGCGAAAGCAUGACGGAGCAACGCCGCGUGAGUGAUGAAGGACUUCGGAUCGUAAAACUCUGUUAUUAGGGAAGAACAAAUGUGUAAGUAACUAUGCACGUAUUGACGGUACCUAAUCAGAAAGCCACGGCUAACUACGUG